rnacentral:rRNA from 1 species
CCUAUGGGGUGCAGCAGGCGCGAAAACUUUACCAUGCGGGCAACCGUGAUAAGGAAACCCCGAGUGCCAGACAAUACUGGCUGUCCAUCAGUGCAAAGAGCUGGUGAAGAAAGGGCCGGGCAAGACCGGUGCCAGCCGCCGCGGUAAUACCGGCGGCUCGAGUGGUGGCCGCUAUUACUGGGUUUAAAGGGUCCGUAGCUUGAUAGACGGGUCCCUUGAGAAAUCCGGACGCUUAACGUCCGGGCGUUCAGGGGAAACUGUUUUUCUAGGGACCGGGAGAGGUGAGAGGUACUGCCGGGGUAGGAGUGAAAUCCUGUAAUCCCGGUGGGACGACCGAUGGCGAAGGCAUCUCACCAGAACGGCUCCGACAGUGAGGGACGAAAGCUGGGGGAGCAAACCGGAUUAGAUACCCUCGUAGUCC